rnacentral:rRNA from 1 species
UACGUAGGGGGCAAGCGUUGUCCGGAUUCAUUGGGCGUAAAGAGCGUGUAGGCGGCCAGGUAGGUCGGUUGUGAAAACUGGAGGCUCAACCUUCAGAGGUCGACCGAAACCAUCUGGCUAGAGUCCGGGAGAGGAGAGUGGAAUUCCUGGUGUAGCGGUGAAAUGCGCAGAUAUCAGGAAGAACACCCGUGGCGAAAGCGGCUCUCUGGACCGAGACUGACGCUGAGGCGCGAAAGCGUGGGGAGCAAACAGG